GAAGGAAAACGUUCUCUGGUGAGGCGCGCAGACUUCAAAUCUGUUGAGGCACAUUAGAUGUGCCUGGUGGGUUCGACUCCCACUCCUU
rnacentral:tRNA from 1 species